rnacentral:rRNA from 1 species
AGCAGCCGCGGUAAUUCCAGCUCCAAUAGCGUAUAUUAAAGUUGCUGCAGUUAAAAAGCUCGUAGUUGAAUUUCGGGACCAAUAUGUCGGUCGUGCCUCGGUACGUACUGGCAUCGUUGGUUUCUCCCUUCUGACGAACCAUGAUGUCAUUUAUUUGGUGUCGCGGGGAAUCAGGACUGUUACUUUGAAAAAUUAGAGUGUUUAAAGCAGGCUCACGCUUGAAUACAUUAGCAUGGAAUAAUGAAAUAGGACGUUUGGUCCUAUUUCGUUGGUUUCUAGGAUCGACGUAAUGAUUAAUAGGGAUAGUUGGGGGCAUUAGUAUUCAAUUGUCAGAGGUGAAAUUCUUGGAUUUAUUGAAG